UGCCCUAGAUAAGGGUAAACAGCCGCUGUAUUUUGACGGUGCUAAGGUAGCGAAAUUCCUAGCCUUUUAAUUGGAGGCCUGCAUGAAUGGUUUGACGAGCGCCCGACUGUCUCUUUUCCGUGUGUAUUGAAAUUAGCUUCUGUGUGAAAAGACACAGAUGGUUGAGUAAGACGAAAAGACCCUGUGCAACUUUACUAGGUGGGUAGGUUGGCUAUCAUAAGGUUUAGCUGGGGCAGCUAGGGAAAAACCAAAACUUCCCUAUUGAUUAUAGACUAAUAGGUUUUGAUCCAAUAAGUAGAUUGAUCAGUAGAAAAGUUACGCCAGGGAUAACAGCGUUAUCCUUCUGUGGAGGUCUUAUUUGCAGGGGGGAUUGCGACCUGG
rnacentral:rRNA from 1 species